GGGCAGAGUGGAGGAGCGUUCAAAGUGUUUAAAGGUUUCUCCCUGGCCCCUACGUCUGGACCCGGGCCAGCUGCUGGGGGGGUCGCGACCUUCUCCGGGUUCGAUAGCGGGGUAGGGUUCAAACCCCUGUCUGGACUGUCCAAUGGGAACAGCGUCAAACCCGUCACUCCAGCCUUCACGGGGUUCACCUCGCCUACUGCCACCAAGACCACCGCCACACCAGAUGAAAACGGGGAGGAAUCGGACGAACCGCCCAAAGUGGAAGUCCAGGAGAUCAAGGAGACUGACGCCUUUUACUCCAAGAAGUGUAAACUCUUCUAUAAGAAGGAGACGGAGUUCAAGGAGAAAGGAGUCGGAACGCUGCAUCUGAAAACGACGUCGGACGGAAAGACACAGCUGUUAGUCCGCGCCGAUACCAACCUGGGUAACAUCCUGUUGAACAUCAUGGUCCAGCCUUCCAUACCCUGUUCCAGAAUGGGGAAGAACAACGUGAUGGUGAUUUGUGUUCCUAACCCUGUGGUGGACCACAACAACCCUACCAACCCUGUCGCCAUGCUCAUCAGGGUCAAAACAGCAGAGGAUGCUGACGAACUGCACAACAUACUGGAGGAGAAGAAAGCUUAGAUAACUAACCCCUGGUCCCUGGAGGGCGAUACAGGCUGACCCCACUCCACCCUUCUGCCUAUCAACUAACCCCUGGUCCCUGGAGGGGGAUACAGGCUGACCCCACUCCACCCUUCUGCCUAUCAACUAACCCCUAGGUCCAGUCCUGUACCCCUCCACCCCAGGUCCAGUCCUGUGCCCCUCCACCCCAGGUCCAGUCUUAUACCCCUAGCCCCUCCACCCCAGGUCCAGUCUUAUACCCCUAGCCCCUCCACCCCAGGUCCAGUCUUAUACCCCUAGCCCCUCCGCCCAAGGUCCAGUCUUGUGCCCCUCCGCCCAAGGUCCAGUCUUGUACCCCUAGCCCCUCCGCCCAAGGUCCAGUCUUGUACCCCUAGCCCCUCCGCCCAAGGUCCAGUCUUGUACCCCUCCGCCCCAGGUCCAGUCCUGUGCCCCUCCGCCCCAGGUCCGUCCUGUGCCCCUCCGCCCCAGGUCCAGUCCUGUGCCCCUCCGCCCCAGGUCCAGUCCUGUGCCCCUCCGCCCCAGGUCCAGUCCUGUGCCCCUCCGCCCCAGGUCCAGUCCUGUGCCCCUCCGCCCCAGGUCCAGUCCUGUGCCCCUCCGCCCCAGGUCCAGUCCUGUGCCCCUCCGCCCCAGGUCCAGUCCUGUGCCCCUCCGCCCCAGGUCCAGUCCUGUGCCCCUCCGCCCCAGGUCCAGUCCUGUGCCCCUCCGCCCCAGGCCCAGUCCUGUGCCGUGCCCCUCCGCCCCAGGGCAAGUCCUGUGCCGUGCCCAUCCGCCCCAGGGCAAGUCCUGUGCCGUGCCCCUCCACCCCACGUCCAGUCCUGUACCCCUAGCUCCUCCGCCCCAGGUCCAGUCCCGUGCCCCUCCGCCCCAGGUCCAGUCCCGUGCCCCUCCGCCCCAGGUCCAGUCCCGUGCCCCUCCGCCCCCUAUCUAGUGCACUACUUUAGACCAGGCCCCUAUUCCCUACCUAGUGCACUACCUUGACCAGCUAGAUGGUCUGAACUAGUGAACUAGAAAGGGAAUAGGAGGCCAUUUUGUCAUGUGAUGCCAGAGGGGUCGUCUACAACGAAUUUUAUCUUCACACACCUGGACUAGACACACCUGGACUAGACACACCUGGACUAGACACACUGACACACCUGGACUAGACACACCUGGACUAGACAUGCUGUAACAGAGACACACCUGGACUAGACAUACCUGGACUAGACACACCUGGACUAGACAUGCUGUAACAGAGACACACCUGGACUAGACACACCAACAGAGACACACCUGGACUAGACACACCGACACACCUGGACUAGACACGUGACCGUUGAAAUGAAAUGUUUUAUUUUUGCAUGCGUUGUGUAGCAACACAUUUUUAGUUAUAAAACAUGGUUCAUUUGUGAUUUUAUUUUUUAUUACUGUGAAAGUUCAACGGGCUCCACUGUCUCUUGCUCCUAACAGGUCGUGACCCCCAUAUUCACCUUCCUGUGGGAUUCAGUAACAUUCCGUCUAGAUUGAAUACUACUGCUGCUAUAGUUUUCAUUAAAGAUGAGAGGGGAAGCAGGCUGAUUUUUUUUUUUGAACGGUUAGCGAUCCUGUUAUGAUGUGGUUCUUCUGGUUGUGGACGAGAGAAGACAUUUUAAAGUGUGGUAGACCUAGUUAUGAAGAGGGUGUGUUUUUCUACCUGCUCUGUCCAGCUCUCUGAGGAACAAACAUUUGUUUUUGAAAAGGGGUGUGUUGAUCAGGGUUCAUUUUUGAAAUGGCUCCCUAUUCCCUAUCUAGUGCUCUACGUAGGGAAUAGGGUCCCUCAUAGGGGAUUUGGUUAAACCUAGGGGUCCUGUCUGUGUUUCUACUGAAUGUGUGUUCACAACCUUUUUGCUUUGUAAGACUGUAUUUAUUGUAAAAGAUAAAUGGAAAAUAUGUUGUGCUUGAGUGAGAUGAAUUAUUUUACCUGUCUUGAGUAAAUGGACUCCGAUUCCCUUCUCCCCCUCGUGGAAUUACACUCACUCAACAUGGCCGCCGGGUUCACCCAUAACUGUCUGAGUAAAUGGACUCCAACUCCCUUCUCCCCCUCGUGGAAUUACACUCACUCAACAUGGCCGCCGGGUUCACCCAUAACUGUGUAAAUGGACUCACACUCACUCAACAUGGCCGCCUUCUCCCCCUCGUGGAAUUAUACUCACUCAACAUGGCCGCCGGGUUCACCCAUAACUGUGUAAAUGGACUCCGAUUCCCUUCCCCCCCCUCGUGGAAUUACACUCACUCAACAUGGCCGCCGGGUUCACCCAUAACUGUGUAAAUGGACUCACACUCACUCAACAUGGCCGCCGGGUUCACCCAUAACUGUGUAAAUGGACUCCGAUUCCCUUCUCCCCCCUCGUGGAAUUACACUCACUCAACAUGGCCGCCGGGUUCACCCAUAACUGUGUAAAUGGACUCACACUCACUCAACAUGGCCGCCGGGUUCACCCAUAACUGUGUAAAUGGACUCCGAUUCCCUUCUCCCCCCCUCGUGGAAUUACACUCACUCAACAUGGCCGCCGGGUUCACCCAUAACUGUGUAAAUGGACUCACACUCACUCAACAUGGCCGCCGGGUUCACCCAUAACUGUGUAAAUGGACUCACACUCACUCAACAUGGCCGCCGGGUUCACCCAUAACUGUGUCAUUGAGUUGAAAAGGGAAUGUCUGCUUCAGUAAUCGUCUUUCUAUGGGAAUAUAUCUCCCUUCUCACAGCCUCUCUGACAUUCUAGAUGUAUCUUUCUAGCGCCGGUCAAAAAGUAGAGCACCAUUUUUGGAUGCCGGGGUGGAAGGUCCAGUCGGGUCACAGUCUGUUUCCCACAAGGCAUCAGCUGGUGUGAAAGGAUUCUCCAUUCAUCUCUGGGUUUGGUUGUUUCUGUCUGAGGUGAGGCGCUGCAGCCGUCGCCUGUCUGAUACAUUUCUAGUCCUUCUGAUUCAAAUGGGGAAUAAAUUCAUCAAUUCAACGGGUAA
rnacentral:lncRNA from 1 species